rnacentral:lncRNA from 10 species
UUCCCCCACUGCCUCUAUCGUUAUGACACUCUUCCUUUCCAGCAUUUUCUUUAUGUCUCAAUAGCCAGAGUCAGCCCUCAUCUCCUCAUUUCCCUUUGUUCCUGCCCAGAGGAAUCACAUAGACUGAAGAAAAGGAAACUCUCAGAGAAAAAUAAAAAGGUCACCAGAGCUAACAAAUGGGAGAACUGGGAUGUUAAGCCAAGAUCUGUCUGCCUCCGGACCCCAGCUUCAGAAAAGAGAUGAGCUUCAGAGACAUUGGAAAAGAACUCUGCUUGAGAAAGAAGAUCGUCCACCAGCAGGAAGACAAGCAUAGACAGUGGGCUACAGAAAAAAGUGUCUGUUCUGAGGAACAAUAGAAUGAACUGAAUGGAUAAAACAAGUUUUAUGGACAACUCAGACGUCAGUGUCUUCACAUUAUGAUACUUCAUCAGACAUUGGUAGUCUGAUUUCAGGUAUUAUAAUUAUUUUGAACUGUUUACUAUUGAUAGUUAUUAAAAUAGGGUCAGUUUAAGUAUGAAAGUAAAAUAUAAGGAAAGUACAUCACUUUGCUUUGGCAAAUUGUUUCAUCUUUCUCAAUCUCAGGUUUUCAUAUGAGAAUGGAGUUAAUAAUGGGACUUGGAUUCAAUACUCUAUUGAGGUAUCUGCCAACUCUCUUAUAUAUGUUGCAUAAAUAUUACAUGUUUUGGAACUUCAGAAGAGAUAAAUAUUUCUGUGAACUGGAGCCGUCAGGGAUGGAUUAGAGAUUUAAUUGCUCCUAUAAGACAUACAUGAGUAACAUUAUAGUUGCUAAUCCAUGUUAAAAUUUCAUGCAUAAUUUAAUUAAUACUGUAGGGGCUUGUGGGCAUAUAAGGAUUUAGUAUUCUCAUUAUUUGUGAAUGACUCUGAAAGCCCACUAAUAGUUGUAGUAAUCCACAAAUGUGAGUCACAUACCCUGAACACAUAUCCUAGUGUUGGGAGAGCAAUUUAGCAGCCAUUCUCAAAGAGGCAUUGUUGUUUUCCACACAUUUUAAUAUUUGCAAUAAUUGUGAUUGAGAAUUUGACUGGCCUAGUUAAACUUUCAGCCAUAUUCUUCUGAAUUUUAAGAGAGAAGUUAUAUGCUAUCACAUAAUUUGUGAAUUAAGGGAUACACAGACGACUUGGAAUGUCCUUUGAAAAUAUCUAAUGACUACUGUUCCUUGAAAAACAAAUGUAAGUUUACAUGGUAAAGCAUUAAGUGGUAAGAUAUAUAUGUUUUAGGAAGACUAUCCAAAGCCCAAUUUCAGUUUUCUUUUAUAUUAUCUAUCUAUUGGACACCAAAGUGGAGGUGCUAUAGAUGAGCCUUUGUAUGUGUGUGUGUUUGUGUGUGUGUGUUUACACAUUCAAUUGAAGGGUUCGGGGGAAAGUUUUGAAUUAAAGAUAUGAAUUUGAAAAUUGUCAGCAUAUAGAUUGUAUUAAAGGCAAAAGAAGGGAUGAGAGACCAAGAAGUGAAUGUUGAGAACAAAGAGAAACAAGGAAAAAUCCUUGUUGGCACUCCAAUUUUAAGAGAUCAAGGAUGUGAAAAACAAGGAAAGAAUGGAACAGUGAGGUCAAAAGAAAUCCAGGAGAGUAGAAAGUCUUGGAAACCAAGUGUCAAAAGUGUUGCAAGGAGAGAGGAGUAAUCACCUGUUAAAAAUGCUGCGGAUAGUAAGAUAAGAACUAAAAUUCACCAUUAAACUUAGCUACAUAAGACAUUGGCAGUCUUGACAAAAACAGUUUCAGUGUAUUAAUGGGUUCAUGUUUAUAAUGACUGUAAUGAUCAAUAUAGAAGAAUAAAUGAUCUUACACAACUUCAUGAAUUUAGAAUAUUUGACUUUUUAAAUAUGUAUCUGAAAUGUCUGACAAGAGUCUUGAAUUUAUUUACACUUGCCUGAGACUAUAGUCUGUGGGAAUGUAUAGUUUUUUCCAUUUUUCAUGCUUGCUUAUUUUAACGUUAACAUUUUUUACUAUCUUAUUGCCUAAAAUAAUUACUAAGAAUUUAUAAUUAAAG